rnacentral:misc_RNA from 1 species
UUGUUAGCAAGGGCGAAAAUAUCUCUAAAAGAGAUCACUUCCAAUCAACCAAAGAUGAUGGAUUCCAAUAUUCAUGGAACGUACUUGUAAUGUUUUAAUUUGUAUUAAAAGAUAAUACAGUAUUAAAAGUUUAAUAUUUUGAUAAAUUAGUUGUAUUUUAUAUUUUAGAAACUUCAAAUGUUGUAUUGUAUUGUAUGUUGAUAAGUUAUAAAAGUUUGUUUAUACUGAAAUUAUUACACUCUAAGCUUGUUCACAGUUUUUUUUUUAUAAUUUUAUAAAUAUAAUCCGUAUUAAAAAAAGAACUUAAAUAUUUGUAAUUACAUCGACAACACUGAAUAACUACGAAGUGAUCAAAAAGUAAUACAGUUACAAUUAAAUAAUUUCGCCAUAUCUCUAACUCUUUUUCGUCAACAUAACACAGCUGCUUAAAAUUCUCGGCGACUUUG